ACACCGGCGGCCUCGCGUUUCCCGGCGCUGCGCCUCGAGGCCACGCCCCCGGGCGGAGCGACCAAUCACAGGUUCCCGCGGAGCCGGGCGCCUCAGCGGCCUGGGCGCCGGGACGCUCAGGUGGUUAUUGCGGGUGUCUUGUCUGUCCUCCGGCCGAGUGGUCACCUGUGGUCAUCCUGCAGGGCCACCUCUGGUGGGACCGUGGACGCGCUCUUGGCCUACCUGCAGCCUCCUGUCCCCACACCUGACACCGCCUGCUUCUUCAUCUCGUAAAUGCCUCAAGCCCCUCGCCUUCCAGAGGUGGAUUUGAGAUUUGUUCACCCACCUUCUCACUUCACUGCCUUGUGAAUAAAUUUUUCUCUGCCUGCCGCAAACCUUGGCGUCUCAACAUUUGGCUUCUGUGCGUCGGGCAAAAGAAGCUGGUUCAGUAACCCCCAGACUCUUGUCAAAGGGGACUCUGGAGUCAAGUGGCUGCAAUGGGACCUGUCACCAUCCACCCUGGGAGGCAAAGACAACAGCUCAGCCUUAGGGUAAUAAUGAGAAAGGAGUCCUUGUCCCUACAGGAGGCAGGAAGAAAACAUGCUAUGGAAGAAUCAUGCUUUGCUCAAACCAGAUUAACUCUUGUCUCUGGGGAAAAGUGUUCACUUGUCUUUGUGAACUGUGCUGACCUUACAGGUGAUGAAGAAAACUGAAGGGGAUAAGCUACAGCUGCCACUUGGGGGCCCUGAUAGAGAAUUGGAACGUCCACAUCACUGUCCGUCAAGGAAUCCAGAGCCCCCGUUCCCUCCCACCAGCCUCGGGGCACAGUCAACUAAUGUAGAUGUCCAGCUGGGGUCUUAAGACUCAAGAACCAAGUGAAAACACCUCCCCUAGUCAAGGAGGUGGGGGUACCAGCCAGAGUGGCCUGAGGAGGGGCACCUGCUUGAGGGCAGCCCUGCAGAGGGAGUGACCCGGUUGGGGAGUGGGGUGGGCAUCUUAAUGGUUUUCAAAGAAGCAAGAGGAUUAUGGAUGUGAAGGUAGAGAUAGCUGGACAUGCGUUUUCAACAGCACGGGGUCAGCGCCCCUAACCCCUGAGCUGUUCAAGGGUCAGGUGUAUAUAUUGCAAAAUCAUUACCACCAUAAGUAUACAACCCAGUAUUGUUAACGGUGGUCACCAUGCUGGACAUCACACGCCCAGGACUUGCCCAUCUUAGAACUGGAGUUUGCAGGUCUCUGACCGAGAGAGGCCACACCUGAGGAGCAGCAUUAACCUGGUACAGACCGCGAGGCCCUGGGCUUUGAGCCUGCUGCUGGGAUUGGAUGAGACUUUGGGGGACCUUGGGAGGAGAACGUCAGCAGUAACAGUGCGCCAGCUCCAUCCCUGGGCCUCGUGAGGUUUUUGUGGACUUUUUCCCCUUCGCUCCUGCCGUCGUGCCUGCUGUGUGGAUAAGCCCUAGUACCAUUCUGGGGGAUGAGAGACCAGACAGAGCAGAGAUGAUCCAUCCAGCCAUCCUAGACCAGCUAGUUCUUCUAACCAAGCGGCAGGCCACAGACCCAUGAGCCAAGGCCAGCAACGCCAGAACCACCCAACUAAGACCAGCUCGAAUGGUCAACCCGCAGAAUCAUGAGCUAACUAAAUGCUUAUUGUUUUAGGCCCCCAAAUUCUGUGUUUGUUAUGCAUUAAUACAGCAAUAGAUAAUAAAUACAGUUACCAAAUAACACUGCUAACUCCUUUGAGGAAAUUACCGAGACAGAUGGUAGAAAACCAAAUGACUCUCCAUUUUUAUCUAAGCUGUAAAUGUAAAUAUGUCCUCAUUGUUUUAUAAAUUUCAGAGAAGUGAAAACGUGGUUAUAAUUUAAGUAGCCACAUUAAGAAAUUUAAGGAAAAAAACAGCCAAAUUAUUCAGAACUAAAAUUUGAGCAGUGAGUUUUGGGUAAUAAGCUAAAAAAAAUUAGAUAGUAAAAUAUCAAGGCAUCAUAUUAAUGUUGAUAAUUAUAGUUUACUUAUAUAUAACAGUGCUAAUGAUAAAAGCCACUUAAAUAGUAUCUUUGUAGACACACAUUAACCUCAGAUAGCAUACAACAAAAUAAAUUUAAGUAGCACCUCCAAGAGACACAAAAGGGAAGACUGUGAAAAUAAAAAUAAGCUGGAAAACAUUUCAAUUUAGACUUCAUUAGGAUUAAAAAGAUAAGGUAUAGGU